rnacentral:rRNA from 1 species
CACGUAGUUAGCCGGUGCUUCUUAUCUAGGUACCGUCACAAAAAGCUUCGUCCCUAGCGAAAGGAGUUUACAACCCGAAGGCCUUCAUCCCCCACGCGGCGUCGCUGCAUCAGGCUUGCGCCCAUUGUGCAAUAUUCCCCACUGCUGCCUCCCGUAGGAGUCUGGGCCGUAUCUCAGUCCCAAUGUGGCCGUCCACCCUCUCAGGCCGGCUACCCGUCGCCGCCUUGGUAGGCCAUUGCCCCCACAACAAGCUGAUAGGCCGCGAGCUCAUCCUACACCGAAAAAACUUUCCAACCAUCACACUAAAAAUGGCUCCUAUCCGGUAUUAGACCCAGUUUCCCAGGCUUAUCCCGAAGUGCAGGGCAGAUCACCCACGUGUUACUCACCCGUUCGCCACUCGAGUACCCUGCAAGCAGGGCCUUUCCGUCGACUUGCAUGUGUUAAGCACGCCGCCAGCGUUCGUCCUGAGCCAGGAGUCAAACUCU